rnacentral:rRNA from 2 species
UACGGAGGAUCCAAGCGUUAUCCGGAAUCAUUGGGUUUAAAGGGUCCGUAGGCGGUUUGGUAAGUCAGUGGUGAAAGCCCAUCGCUCAACGGUGGAACGGCCAUUGAUACUGCCAGACUUGAAUUAUUAGGAAGUAACUAGAAUAUGUAGUGUAGCGGUGAAAUGCUUAGAGAUUACAUGGAAUACCAAUUGCGAAGGCAGGUUACUACUAAUGGAUUGACGCUGAUGGACGAAAGCGUGGGUAGCGAACAG